GAUGAACGCUGGCGGCGUGCCUAAUACAUGCAAGUCGAGCGAACAGACGAGGAGCUUGCUCCUUCGACGUUAGCGGCGGACGGGUGAGUAACACGUAGGUAACCUACCUAUAAGACUGGGAUAACUUCGGGAAACCGGAGCUAAUACCGGAUAAUAUUUCGAACCGCAUUGUUCGAUAGUGAAAGAUGGCUUUGCUAUCACUUAUAGAUGGACCUGCGCCGUAUUAGCUAGUUGGUAAGGUAACGGCUUACCAAGGCAACGAUACGUAGCCGACCUGAGAGGGUGAUCGGCCACACUGGAACUGAGACACGGUCCAGACUCCUACGGGAGGCAGCAGUAGUGAAUCUUCCGCAAUGGGCGAAAGCCUGACGGAGCAACGCCGCGUGAGUGAUGAAGGUCUUCGGAUCGUAAAACUCUGUUAUUAGGGAAGAACAAACGUGUAAGUAACUGUGCACGUCUUGACGGUACCUAAUCAGAAAGCCACGGCUAACUACGUG
rnacentral:rRNA from 1 species